rnacentral:rRNA from 1 species
GAUGAACGCUAGCGGCAGGCCUAACACAUGCAAGUCGAGGGGCAGCACAGAAACAGCAAUGUUUUGGUGGCGACCGGCGGACGGGUGCGUAACGCGUAUGCAACCUACCUUUAACAGGGGGAUAACGGAGAGAAAUUUCCACUAAUACCCCAUAACAUCGAUCAAGGCAUCUUGAUUGGUUGAAAACUCCGGUGGUUAAAGAUGGGCAUGCGUUGUAUUAGGUAGUUGGUGAGGUAAUGGCUCACCAAGCCUACGAUACAUAGGGGGACUGAGAGGUUAGCCCCCCACACUGGUACUGAGACACGGACCAGACUCCUACGGGAGGCAGCAGUGAGGAAUAUUGGUCAAUGGGGGCAACCCUGGACCAGCCAUGCCGCGUGCGGGAAGACGGCUCUAUGAGUUGUAAACUGCUUUUAAACAGGGAUAAAGCACAGUAUGUAUACUGUGUUGAAGGUACUGUAAGAAUAAGGGUCGGCUAACUCCGUGCCAGCCGCCGCCGUAA